GCCAGCAUGGUUUAGAGGUUUGAGCAUUAGCACUAGGACUCUAGAGACCAAGGUUCAAAUCCUUGCUUGGCC